UUGCCCUUUCAAAAAUUUUCUUUUCAAAAAAAUUAUAUUUAGAACGUAAAUAUUGACAUUAAAGACGCAGUUACUGCGGAUUACUGCGAAAAGUUCUACAAGUUAUACAACAAUUGGAUAAUAAAACCAACAGUUUAAAAGAUUCUUGUCAAGAAUAUUAAUAAACUUAAAGGUUGUUUAACUAGCAAACAACCUCGACUGUAAUAUGCGAUGCUCAUCGAUUUACAACAUGCAAUAUAAAUGAACAUGUAUUUUAAUUGACGACGAAUGAAUAUAAAGAAAAAGUCACGAGACACCGAUUUGCCGUCUGCGCUGAUGGCAAUAUGUGCGUGAAAAGUUGUACAAUAUUUACCACAAACUAAAAUGUUAGAUUUCCGUUUCAUUAAACAGCAAAACCUGCGGCCGUGGCAAAUAAACAUGGUCAGUCACAACAAUACAUAGCAACAGCUACAACGACGGCCAGGACAAGUGUGGAGGAGGACGAGGAGGAGAAGGUCCUCCGACCAGCCACAAGCUCCUCAGACCACAGGCCACCAGCAGCAACAGUAGCAGCAGCACAAGCCAGAAAACAGCAGUUUGUUUGCUUGUUUGUUUGAGGAGAAUGGCCAGCAGAAUGGUAGUGGAAGAGUGAGGGGAAGGAAAAGGCAAAGGGACAUACCUCGCCAUAUAUAUCUCUUACCCGCUCCGACACUAAUACAAUCUAAACAUACAGACGAGUAUAUGAGCAUGGAUUCCACUGUCAAGAGAACGAGAGUUGGGGGAGAGUGUGCGGGUGUGAAUCGAGACAGCACAGUGAGUGGAGCAAGUAGUCGACCAACAAGAGAGCAACCAAAAAACCAAAGCGUUGCACAUUGCACAAACUUUGCUGUGGCGCAGACACAACCGCUGCAUUGACCAGAAUAAUCCAACAGUGAAAGCCAAAAGACAAUCCAGACAAAAUAAUCGCACUCUAUGUAUAGUUUUCGUAUGCUGCGCGCGAUCAUUGAAUAUUGACAUUCACAUGUGCUGAGUGUAGAAAUUCCCUUUUGUUUGUCCCUGAUAAUAGUUUAAUUAUUUUAAAAUUCAACAGAGAUAUUAGCAAACAAAAACAAAAACCGAAAACCUACACACACACACACACACACAGAGACGUAGACAUAUUUGCUUAGUAAAUAAAAUAUUAUGAAAACCCAUUGUGUUGAAUCGCCACUGUGUUUACCCAAAGCUAAUCCAUGCAACGAGUUCGUUGGAGCUGGCCUCGGUCAAUUCCAAUGACUAGACACG